rnacentral:rRNA from 1 species
UACGGAGGGAGCUAGCGUUGUUUGGAAUUACUGGGCGUAAAGCGCACGUAGGCUGAUAGUUAAGUGAGGGGUGAAAUCCCGAGGCUCAACCUCGGAACUGCCCUUCAUACUGGCUAUCUCGAGUCCGGAAGAGGUUAGUGGAAUUCCCAGUGUAGAGGUGAAAUUCGUAGAUAUUGGGAAGAACACCAGUGGCGAAGGCGGCUAACUGGUCCGGUACUGACGCUGAGGUGCGAAAGCGUGGGGAGCAAACAGG